GAACAUACCUAUAACUGUUGCUUCGGCGGGCAGG
rnacentral:rRNA from 1 species